rnacentral:rRNA from 1 species
UCAGUUCGUACUGUGAAGCAUCCUGUUAAGUCAGGCAACGAGCGAGACCCACGCCAACAGUUGCCAGCAUGGUCUCCGGACUGAUGGGGACACUGUUGGGACCGCCUCUGCUAAAGAGGAGGAAGGAAUGGGCAACGGUAGGUCAGCAUGCCCCGAAUUAUCCGGGCUACACGCGGGCUACAAUGGGCAGGACAAUGGGUAUCGACACCGAAAGGUGAAGGCAAUCUCCUAAACCUGUCCUUAGUUCGGAUUGUGGGCUGUAACUCGCCCACAUGAAGCUGGAAUCCGUAGUAAUCGCGUUUCAAAAUAACGCGGUGAAUGUGUCCCUGCUCCUUGCACACACCGCCCGUCAAACCACCCGAGUGGGGUUUGGAUGAGGCUGCGGUCGUUGCCGUAGUCGAAUCUAGGUUCCGCAAGGGGGGUUAAGUCGUAACAAGGUAGCCGCAGGGGAAUCUGCGGCUG